GAAGGCCAAACCCCAAUACAUCAACCUUUUGUUUUUUAUAAAGCAAACUUUUGAAGGUAUCACAAUGACAUACCAGCUGUUGUUAAACCCAUGGAGGAUAUAGCAAAGUUUUUGUUUUGUUCUAUGGCAGAAAUGCAGAUUCAGACCCCCUACCAUUAAAUAUCCCAAUGCCAUAGUAAUCAACAUAUAAAAUGUAGGUACGUUUCUCUAACGUGAUAACACUUUUUAUUUUAACACAAUGUCAUUUCUACCACAGCAUCAAUUGCAGUAUACACAGGCACUGGCUUACAGGCUUAGACCAACAUCAAUGUUAUCAUUGAUUCUUAUUGACACAAAAUGCAACAAUUCCUCAAUAAUUGAGUUAAUAGAUACAUAAAGUAUGAAGAUUACUAGCACACUUGAUUCACAGAAUUAGUGGUAAUUAGAUGAGUUGAUUUGCAAAAGAUCUCAACAAGAAAAAGAAUGAAUGAAAAUGUAGAAAGACGCCAAAUCACAUACAGUUAUUAAAAG
rnacentral:misc_RNA from 1 species